GGGAUGCCUAGUGAAAGAGUACAUGGAAUUCUAACAGGCAAGAGCAGAUGGUCCAGAAUUUUGGGCAUUUUCACAUGACUUGAAUACUUGAGGCUGACCCUGGAUCCUUCUGAACUCUGGCUUUAUGCCUGCUUUUUUCACCAAUGUGAAAACCACAAAGCCUGGAGCAGAGAGAUGGAGAAACGGGGAGACCGAGAUACCGGAAACUGUAUAGGAGUGUACAGUCAUGUCUAUUGGCACGAGUUAACGGAUUUAUCACCGUGUGAAGAGGAAGAGGGAGAGAUUUACUAUGAGUUCUCAAGCUUGCCAGCACCGAGGAACCUGGUCUGACCAAUUUUCAGCACCCUUUACUAAAAUAUGGAGCGUUUCUUCAGAGCUGCUGAUUUGGAUUCAGUGUUUUCAGAGAGGUUGAAGUGACAACACGGAGUUGAAAGCUGUUCUGGGAUCAGUGUGUGCUGCAGAGCUGAAUUUGAAGUGUGAGGAGAAAUUUCGACAUGGCUCAAGCCUGUCUGAUGUACGGUAAAGGGUUUACGACAGGAAUGACUCGGCUGUACAUUCAAACACUCGGCUUCACCUCCAUUUGUAGAUAACCAAGUUAGCAUGCGCGUAAAUAAUCAUCGUAGCUGUGGCGCUUCAGACCUGUAAGCUCUAAACUGGCCGAGUGUGUCAGAGUGUGUGUUAUGUAGUGAUUUCACUGCAGGCUUGGGUUCCACGGUGAGUGUGUUUAGCACAGCAUAACAGCCUUUUCAUUUCACUUGAUGCGUUUGACUCAAUAAAGCUCAGA
ensembl:lncRNA